UACGUAGGGUGCGAGCGUUAAUCGGAAUUACUGGGCGUAAAGCGUGCGCAGGCGGCGCCAUAAGACAGAUGUGAAAUCCCCGGGCUUAACCUGGGAACUGCGUUUGUGACUGUGGUGCUCGAGUGCGGCAGAGGGGGGUGGAAUUCCGCGUGUAGCAGUGAAAUGCGUAGAUAUGCGGAGGAACACCGAUGGCGAAGGCAAUCCCCUGGGCCUGCACUGACGCUCAUGCACGAAAGCGUGGGGAGCAAAC
rnacentral:rRNA from 1 species